AUAGAACGCUAGCGGCAGGACCUAACACAUGCAAGUCGAGGGGCAUCAUGGCGUAGCAAUACGCUGAUGGCGACCGGCGCACGGGUGCGUAACGCGUAUGGAACCUACCCACCGCAGGGGGAUAACCCGCCGAAAGGCGGACUAAUACCCCAUGGUUCCCCGACCCUGCCUGGGGUUGGGGGUAAAGCCUACGGGCGGCGGUGGAUGGCCCUGCGUGCCAUUAGCUGGCUGGUGGGGUAACGGCCCACCAGGGCGACGAUGGCUAGGGGGUCUGAGAGGACGAUCCCCCACACUGGUACUGAGACACGGACCAGACUCCUACGGGAGGCAGCAGUGAGGAAUAUUGGUCAAUGGGCGGAAGCCUGAACCAGCCAUGCCGCGUGCAGGAUGACGGCCCUACGGGUUGUAAACUGCUUUUGUACCUGAAGAAACCUGUUUACGAGUAGACAGUUGCCGGUAAGGUAUGAAUAAGCAUCGGCUAACUCCGUG
rnacentral:rRNA from 1 species